rnacentral:rRNA from 1 species
AUUGAACGCUAGCGGCAGGCCUAACACAUGCAAGUCGAGCGAGCGGCGGACGGGUGAGUAAUGUAUGGGGACUGCCCGAUAAAGGGGGAUCACUACUGGAAACGGUAGCUAAUACCGCAUACUAUCGGAUAACCCAUAUGGGAUUAGCUAGUAGGUGAGGGAAUGGCUCACCUAGGCGACGAUCCCUAGCUGGUCUGAUCGGAUGAUCAGCCACACUGGGACUGAGACACGGCCCAGACUCCUACGGGGGAAGCAGUGGGGAAUAUUGCAUAAUGGGCGCAAGCCUGAUGCAGCCAUGCCGCGUGUAUGAAGAAGGCCCUAGGGUUGUAAAGUACUUUCAGUCGGGAGGCGUUACCGACAGAAGAAGCACCGGCUAACUCCGUGCCAGCAGCCGCGGUAAUUC